rnacentral:rRNA from 1 species
AGAUCUGAAGGAAUACCAGUGGCGAAGGCGGCCACCUGGCUCGAUAUUGACGCUGAUGUGCGAAAGCGUGGGUAGCGAACAGGAUUAGAUACCCUGGUAGUCCACGCCGUAAACGAUGUCUACUAGCUGUCUGUGCGAUCAAGUGUGGGUAGCGUAGCUAACGCGAUAAGUAGACCGCCUGGGGAGUACGGCCGCAAGGUUAAAACUCAAAUGAAUUGACGGGGGCCCGCACAAGCGGUGGAGCAUGUGGUUUAAUUCGAUGCAACGCGAAGAACCUUACCAGGACUUGACAUCCAGAGAACUCACUAGAGAUAGUUUGGUGCCUUCGGGAACUCUGAGACAGGUGCUGCAUGGCUGUCGUCAGCUCGUGUUGUGAGAUGUUGGGUUAAGUCCCGCAACGAGCGCAACCCUUGUCCUUAGUUGCCAGCCUUCAGUUGGGCACUCUAAGGAGACUGCCGGUGACAAACCGGAGGAAGGUGGGGACGACGUCAAGUCAUCAUGGCCCUUACGUUCUGGGCGACACACGUGCUACAAUGGCGAGUACAAAGAGAAGCGAAGCGGCGACGUGGAGCGGAUCUCAUAAAGCUUGUCGUAGUCCGGAUUGGAGUCUGCAACUCGACUCCAUGAAGUCGGAAUCGCUAGUAAUCGUAGAUCAGAAUGCUGCGGUGAAUACGUUCCCGGGCCUUGUACACACCGCCCA